rnacentral:rRNA from 1 species
AUGGACCGUCCAGUUCAGUUCAGUUCGUCACUGGCGCCACAAGUUCAGUUCGCCGCAGCCGGGAGCUCCUCCGGCCACUCACAGACGGCUCAAAGGCCUAUGUAUAACCAUCCACCAGAUGAUCCUGAUGAUACAGAUCAACAACAUGAUAGUGAUGCCAGAAACACUACAUAUCCAACAGAGUUAUACACACUUGAUGAAUUCCUAGCCGUGGAGGACAUGCUAGACUCCUUCGCCGAGGAGAUUGCUGUGGAGUUGAAGGGAACACUUGAGGCUCUUCAAGCAAGAUCACUUAGCAGGAGUGGUCCGAGGAUAUACGUGAGUAGACCGCGUGAAGAAGCACAUCAACAGCUUGUAUGA